rnacentral:rRNA from 1 species
AUGCAAGUCGAACGGAAAGGCCCUUCGGGGUACUCGAGUGGCGAACGGGUGAGUAACACGUGGGCAAUCUGCCCUGCACACCGGGAUAAGCCUGGGAAACUGGGUCUAAUACCGGAUAGGACCACUUGGCGCAUGCCUUGUGGUGGAAAGCUUUUGCGGUGUGGGAUGGGCCCGCGGCCUAUCAGCUUGUUGGUGGGGUGACGGCCUACCAAGGCGACGACGGGUAGCCGGCCUGAGAGGGUGUCCGGCCACACUGGGACUGAGAUACGGCCCAGACUCCUACGGGAGGCAGCAGUGGGGAAUAUUGCACAAUGGGCGCAAGCCUGAUGCAGCGACGCCGCGUGGGGGAUGACGGCCUUCGGGUUGUAAACCUCUUUCACCAUCGACGAAGGUCCGGGUUUUCUCGGAUUGACGGUAGGUGGAGAAGAAGCACCGGCCAACUACGUGCCAGCAGCCGCGGUAAUACGUAGGGUGCGAGCGUUGUCCGGAAUUACUGGGCGUAAAGAGCUCGUAGGUGGUUUGUCGCGUUGUUCGUGAAAUCUCACGGCUUAACUGUGAGCGUGCGGGCGAUACGGGCAGACUAGAGUACUGCAGGGGAGACUGGAAUUCCUGGUGUAGCGGUGGAAUGCGCAGAUAUCAGGAGGAACACCGGUGGCGAAGGCGGGUCUCUGGGCAGUAACUGACGCUGAGGAGCGAAAGCGUGGGGAGCGAACAGGAUUAGAUACCCUGGUAGUCCACGCCGUAAACGGUGGGUACUAGGUGUGGGUUUCCUUCCUUGGGAUCCGUGCCGUAGCUAACGCAUUAAGUACCCCGCCUGGGGAGUACGGCCGCAAGGCUAAAACUCAAAGGAAUUGACGGGGGCCCGCACAAGCGGCGGAGCAUGUGGAUUAAUUCGAUGCAACGCGAAGAACCUUACCUGGGUUUGACAUGCACAGGACGCGUCUAGAGAUAGGCGUUCCCUUGUGGCCUGUGUGCAGGUGGUGCAUGGCUGUCGUCAGCUCGUGUCGUGAGAUGUUGGGUUAAGUCCCGCAACGAGCGCAACCCUUGUCUCAUGUUGCCAGCGGGUAAUGCCGGGGACUCGUGAGAGACUGCCGGGGUCAACUCGGAGGAAGGUGGGGAUGACGUCAAGUCAUCAUGCCCCUUAUGUCCAGGGCUUCACACAUGCUACAAUGGCCGGUACAAAGGGCUGCGAUGCCGCGAGGUUAAGCGAAUCCUUUUAAAGCCGGUCUCAGUUCGGAUCGGGGUCUGCAACUCGACCCCGUGAAGUCGGAGUCGCUAGUAAUCGCAGAUCAGCAACGCUGCGGUGAAUACGUUCCCGGGCCUUGUACACACCGCCCGUCACGUCAUGAAAGUCGGUAACACCCGAAGCCAGUGGCCUAACCC